rnacentral:rRNA from 1 species
GACGAACGCUGGCGGCGUGCCUAAUACAUGCAAGUCGAGCGGACCGGAUUGGGGCUUGCCUUGAUUCGGUCAGCGGCGGACGGGUGAGUAACACGUGGGCAACCUGCCCGCAAGACCGGGAUAACUCCGGGAAACCGGAGCUAAUACCGGAUAACACCGAAGACCGCAUGGUCUUCGGUUGAAAGGCGGCCUUUGGGCUGUCACUUGCGGAUGGGCCCGCGGCGCAUUAGCUAGUUGGUGAGGUAACGGCUCACCAAGGCGACGAUGCGUAGCCGGCCUGAGAGGGUGACCGGCCACACUGGGACUGAGACACGGCCCAGACUCCUACGGGAGGCAGCAGUAGGGAAUCUUCCGCAAUAGGCGAAAGCCUGACGGAGCGACGCCGCGUGAGCGAAGAAGGCCUUCGGGUCGUAAAGCUCUGUUGUGAGGGACGAAGGAGCGCCGUUCGAAGAGGGCGGCGCGGUGACGGUACCUCACGAGAAAGCCCCGGCUAACUACGUG